CGGGAAUUUUGAGACGCUACACCGGCAACAGAAUCUUGAGAGUUUUCACGAAGAAAAUGUAAAUGACAGCUAUUUUUGAUGUAAUGGUCAGUCCAGUUGAGACUAUUGUGCGACACGCCUGGUUAACUGAAGGAUUUCUCAUAUAGGGUAUUACGUGUUUGGUAGUGGUGUUUCUACUUGAGACGAGUUUGAUCAUCUUGUCUUCAGUGAAGAAAAGCAGAGUGGUAUAUUAUCAA